rnacentral:rRNA from 1 species
UACGGAGGGGGCUAGCGUUGUUCGGAAUUACUGGGCGUAAAGCGCACGUAGGCGGCUUUGUAAGUUAGAGGUGUAAGCCCAGGGCUUAACCCUGGAAUUGCCUUUAAGACUGCAUCGCUAGAAUCGUGGAGAGGUGAGUGGAAUUCCGAGUGUAGAGGUGAAAUUCGUAGAUAUUCGGAAGAACACCAGUGGCGAAGGCGACUCACUGGACACGUAUUGACGCUGAGGUGCGAAAGCGUGGGGAGCAAACAGG